UUGAGGUGCUUUCUCCCUGUGGGGAGGGAAUGGGGUGUGAUGAGGUGGGGAACCUGCCAUAAUAUAAGUCUUUCUCUCUCUCCAUUUUCAAGUUUAAUGCAACUCAAACUAAGUCACAGAAGGGAAUGACCCCAUUACAGGAGCUAAUUGAAGUUGUCCACGAGGUACAACUGAAAGGCAAAGGGAGGAGAACAACUAGUGACAAGGGAGCUAAGAGACCCCACCCUGGACAACGCACCCUUGUGUUAUAAACAUCUGCCACAGGAGCAUGAUGAAUGGAAGAUGGCACAGCCCUCGGAGUCAGAAGGUCUGGAUCCAAAUGCUACUCACUCUGUAGUCUUGGUGCUACCAGAAGAUAUGACAGAUGUCUGUAUUUAUCCAAGCCAAAAGAAAAAUAGUGUUAGUGCUGAGACAUAUUUUCAGCCUGAGCUUACCAAGAACCCACUUCAGUUUCAACCCAAAGUUGGAUAUACUCCAUAAAGCAAGCUGAAAAACCUCAAGAGGCCAAACCAUGCAACAGAAUUACCAGAGACAGAAAACCAACGUCACACGCCUCCUCAUUUCCUUUCUCUGAGAGCAAAGAAAAUGGAGACUACUCCACAUGUCACUGGACAAAGCUCAAAAGAGCCACUCAGAGACCACACACGCCGCUGGAAAGAAGUCCAAUCGAGACCUCUUAAGAGUUACACUCUCACACUCCUGCUUGGAAAACUCGACCUUUCAGCUUCCUUGGAUGAACCAUGCUCUCUUUCAAAUCCAGGCUUGGUGCAUACUGUCCCAUUUGCCUGGAAUACCCUCCUCCCACUGCCUGCCCAAUCCCCCAUUUUCAUGUAGUCAAAUCUUAUUUUCCUUCAGUUCACAGUUCCUCAAGAAUACCUCCCAUGAUCUCCCAGAUUUGAUUAUACCUCCUUGCAUCCUGAACUUUUCCUUGUCUAAUAUUUAUCACAUUUCUAGUUAUUUGUUCAAUGUCUACCUUCCCUGAUUGGUUGUAAAUUUCAUAGCUCUGAACAAGAAAAUAGAGGCGUGUGGGAUAGCCUGAUUAAAUUGGAAAAGAAUGCAGAGAAAGUUUUCCUUAUUCUUAUACAAAUAACAAAAAAGGGGGGAUUUUUGGAAAAGAAAAAUGAAGUAAAGACAACACUAACAUUCAAAUAUAUAGUAAGUCCCUCUUAUGUGCCAGGCACUAGACUGUGAUAUGCUUGGGGGCUGCAAAGACCAACAAAUCAUGGUUCCUGAUCAACAAAUUAUAGUUGUUACCUUG